UGGGGAAUAUUGCACAAUGGGCGCAAGCCUGAUGCAGCCAUGCCGCGUGUAUGAAGAAGGCCUUCGGGUUGUAAAGCACUUUCAGCGGGGAGGAAGGGAGUAAAGUUAAUACCUUUGCUCAUUGACGUUACCCGCAGAAGAAGCACCGGCUAACUCCGUGCCAGCAGCCGCGGUAAUACGGAGGGUGCAAGCGUUAAUCGGAAUUACUGGGCGUAAAGCGCACGCAGGCGGUUUGUUAAGUCAGAUGUGAAAUCCCCGGGCUCAACCUGGGAACUGCAUCUGAUACUGGCAAGCUUGAGUCUCGUAGAGGGGGGUAGAAUUCCAGGUGUAGCGGUGAAAUGCGUAGAGAUCUGGAGGAAUACCGGUGGCGAAGGCGGCCCCCUGGACGAAGACUGACGCUCAGGUGCGAAAGCGUGGGGAGCAAACA
rnacentral:rRNA from 1 species